AAGUUUAUUAAUUCAACGACUGAAUUGUGUUCAUUUAUACAUCACAUGGUCGAUAAUUUCCGUUGUAAAUAAUGUUUGUGCGUAAAAAUAAAUGAGUGAGCAAGUUAAAUAUUUUUUAAACGAAAGCAAAACUGGAUAUUAAUCUAAACAAUUAGUGCCAAGUGAGAGCGUAAUAUGCCUUUGUGCUCACAAAUCAGAUAAUCAUGUCUUUAUCAAAUAAACUGAGUAACAAUUACGAAAUUAAGAAGACCGUGUCUCACAUGAUAGUACUAAUAAAAAUAUACUUUGACAUCUGAAAGAAAAAUGACAUAUUAAGAGAUCGGCAAACGAGAACAAUGCUUGUGUCUAAUCUUUAAAACCAUUGUAAACCAAAUAUGCAUUUGGUUAUUGGAUUGCGAUUGGGGAAGAUGAAAUAUUUAAACUUGCUUUACUGCUUUACGUAAAGUUAUAGACACCAUUGUUGAUAGGUGGUACGAAAGAAAAGUUUAUCCAUAGCGAAGAGUAGUAUAGUUUGUAAGUCAUA